CUAGGAUGCCCCUGACACAUCUAAGAUGGCAGCUCAUGUCCGUGGAAACCCCGGUGCUCACAAGCUGGCUAAGGCUAGGGUUCUCUUACUCACUGGUUGAGGGCACCACUUUCAGAUAAAAACAUAGACCUGAAUGGCAUCAUCCAGUAUCCAAGGAAACCGUAGCCUCCUGGAGUGACAAGACAAUGGCCAGCAGAGAACCCCACUGCUCCCUGCUUUCUCGUCCAUGGCUUAUGGACACAUGGCGGCUACUAAAGACUUUAUUCCACCCAGGAAGGUUCAGCAAGUAUGUGCUUAAAUUUCAUCUGUCCAGUUUUGAAACACGCAUCCCCUGUGUGGAACAGAUCUGUCUCCUCCUUUUCCAUAAUUUCUCUCUCUUACAAUCUCUUUGGUUAAAGUAGAAAAUGGGAUGGCAGCAAUAUAACAUAUCAGUGAAUCUACAUGAGAGCGUAAUGAAGAAUAGACCCUCAGUGACACAGGCUCCAGCUGCUUGUAAUUAAUCACUCUCAAUUAAUCAAUCAAUUGAAACCAAUUGGAGCUGUGAAAAGAAAUUGGCCAAGCUGUGUUCAAGCUCUGACAUUGCCGCUUACUAGAUGUAUAAUUCCAGUCAAUUUGUUUAACCUCUCAGAAAUCUUGUUUUUUUGCAAGGAUCAACUAGGAUAUUUGUAAAACCAUGUUGAAACUUCUCCAAAUGCCAGGCAUUACUGUUGCUGUUUUAAAUUACAUAAAGAGAGUAGUCAUUUUAAGGUUCUUGAGUAUAUCAGCAUCUUCAAAAAUAAAAGUUGAUGGACAAUUUGAAAUGAUCAAGUGACUUGCUAGCUGUCAAGAAUGUGAUUAUUGAUAAUCGUUAAU